UUUGUCCUCAGGAGAUGAGUCCACCUCCAUGGGCUCAACGUCACUCUCUGGAGGAUCUACAUCCACUGGCUCCAGCUUGCUGCUGCUCUCAAGAAGCCAAAGCUUCUUUGGUGGAGGAGAAUCCAUCCUCCUCCACAAAUGCUCCCACAGUGGGAGAGAAGGCUCUCUGUAGCUCUUGCUCUCAGGGAUGAAAAUGCUGCAUGCCACGCAGGAGGAGAAGCAGCACCAGCACAAACCAGCAGGACCAUCAGGCAGCCAUAGCCUUUUGUCUGUGAUGCUCUCUGAGACAACAUCAUGGCACCAGGUAGCACUGAUGGCAUACUGCACGGCCACGCUUAUCGCACGCGCUGCACAUUCCCUCCGCCACCAGCAGCCGCACGCACCGCAAUCCCAGCAUGUUGGGCUCCUCUGGCUCCAGUGUUUCGCACCAUGCCCGCCUGCAUGCAGAUAUUGCUGAGAACUCUCCUCUUCGUUAGAAAUCCCACCUUCAUUUCUCACAAAUAAACAGGUGACACCCUUCCCA
rnacentral:lncRNA from 1 species